CUUUGUUUCAAACUGAAAAAUAAGCCACUUUUAGCAGGGAAUGCAAGGGACCUCCCUACUGUCACAUGGCAGGAGUGGAACCCAGGACUGAUGGCUUGUGCUCUGCUCGUCUUUCUUUCUCUGGCGCCUACUACUUCAAAGAAACCUUACAAAGGACAAGUGGGAAGUCGCAGAUAGCUGGAUACCCAGCAAAACCUCCCGAGCAGCACUGUGAAGGUAGGACGCCCUUGGCCAGAACAAGGGAGGAC